rnacentral:rRNA from 1 species
UACGUAGGGAGCAAGCGUUGUUCGGAUUUACUGGGCGUAAAGGGCGCGUAGGCGGUCCUUCAAGUCAGGCGUGAAAGCCCCGGGCUCAACCUGGGAACCGCGCUUGAGACUGGCGGACUCGAGUUCGGGAGAGGAUGGUGGAAUUCCCAGUGUAGAGGUGAAAUUCGUAGAUAUUGGGAAGAACACCAGUGGCGAAGGCGGCUCGCUGGGACGUUACUGACGCUGAGACGCGAAAGCGUGGGGAGCAAACAGG